AGUCGAGGGGCAGCGGGGGUGAUGGCUUGCCAUCGCCUGCCGGCGACCGGCGCACGGGUGAGUAACACGUAUGCAACCUGCCCGCCACAGGGGGAUAAGCGGAAGAAAUUCCGUCUAAUACCGCGUGACGCGGCGCCGGGGCAUCCCGGUGCCGCCAAAGGGAUUACCGGUGGCGGAUGGGCAUGCGGCGCAUUAGCUAGUCGGCGGGGUAACGGCCCACCGAGGCGACGAUGCGUAGGGGUUCUGAGAGGAAGGUCCCCCACACUGGUACUGAGACACGGACCAGACUCCUACGGGAGGCAGCAGUGAGGAAUAUUGGUCAAUGGGAGAGAUCCUGAACCAGCCAAGCCGCGUGAGGGAAGACGGCCCUAUGGGUUGUAAACCUCUUUUGUCGGAGAACAAAACCCGGGACGUGUCCCGGACUGCGUGUAUCCGAAGAAAAAGCAUCGGCUAACUCCGUGCCAGCAGCCGCGGUAAUACGGAGGAUGCGAGCGUUAUCCGGAUUUAUUGGGUUUAAAGGGAGCGUAGACGGCGACGCAAGUCUGGAGUGAAAGCCCGGGGCCCAACCCCGGGACUGCUCUGGAAACUGCGCCGCUGGAGUACGGGAGGGGCAGGCGGAAUUCCUGGUGUAGCGGUGAAAUGCGUAGAUAUCAGGAGGAACACCGGCGGCGAAGGCGGCCUGCUGGACCGUGACUGACGUUGAGGCUCGAGAGCGUGGGGAGCAAACAGGAUUAGAUACCCUGGUAGUCCACGCCGUAAACGAUGACUGCUAGGUGUCGGGGGA
rnacentral:rRNA from 1 species